rnacentral:rRNA from 1 species
AUGUUGUAUGGCAAUUGGGAGGAAGCAUACAACCGACUCCCUAGGUUGUUGUUAGCUAUGGCCGCCACAAACCCAGGCAUGGUUCACGUGGUUGAGCCUCAUGGGCACGAAACAUUGAUUCAUAACGGGAGGACCGUCCGAGUAUUUGGCUGUGCAUUUUGGGCCUUUGAGCAAUGCGUGAGGGCUUUUGAGCAUUGUCGGCCCGUCAUCGCCAUUGAUGGCAUGUUCUUGACCGGACAAUACAAGGGCACUUUAUUGGUUGCAAUAGCAAGUGAUGCCAAUAACCGGGUGUUGCCUUUGGCUUUCGCUUUGGUUGAGGUGGAGAACAAUGAUAACUGGGAGUGGUUCUUGCAUCAACUGAGAACAAGGGUAUUACCUGCUGAAAGAGAAAUUUGUGUCAUAUCGGAUCGCCAUCCUGGAAUUCUAAAUGCGGUGGUGGUUGACAUUCCCGGACAUACAAAGUUGCAUCAUCGAUGGUGCAUGAGGCACUUUUGUGCAAACUUCUAUAGGGCAUGUGGUAUCAAGGAGUUGGCCAAUGAUCUUCAGGAUUGUUGUCUCGCUUUCACCAACAAGUGGUUUUCCACAUUGUUCAAUGCAUUUCUCAGACACAAGAAACUUGACCCCGGCGGUCAGGAGUUUCUGAAUAAGAACAUUGCCGAAAGGAAUAUGUGGGCACGUGCUUUCGAUGAAGAUGGCCGGAGGUACGGUCAAAUGACAAGCAAUAUGGCAGAAUGCUUCAAUAAGGUGCUCAAGGGUGUACGUGCAUUACCCAUGACGGCAAUAGUUCAAUACACAUUUGACAAGUUGAAUGAAUACUUUUUAAAGCACUCAAUGGAGACUGAUAAGCAGAUUGCUGGUGAGAACAAGGAUAAGCACAAGUACAAUUUCCCACCAAAGGUCGACGAAUGGUUGGAAUUUCAAUCACGAAAGGCAGACUCCGAAGAAGCUGUACUAUAUGACGACAACGAGUGGAAGUAUGAGGUGAAAGAGCCCAGAGGAACCACAAACGAUGGCCGCCAACAUGGAGGCCGGGCUUUCAAGGUCUCCCUAACACGGUGUGAUUGCAGCUGCAUGAGACCGUCUUUGCUUCAUCUCCCAUGCUCGCACUUGUUAAAUGCAUCCCGGGUUAGGAAUGUGGACGUCAAUCACCCUCUUACCGUGAGGGAGUCCGAGUUCUCAAUCAUGACGGAAGAGGCCGUGGUGGUGGUCUUGGCCGUGGUGAUGGUCUUGGCCGUGGUGGUGGUCUUGGCCGUGGUGAAGGUCUUGGCCGUGGUGAUGGUCUUGGCCGUGAUGGUGGUAGAGGUCGUGGUGAUGGUCUUGGUCGUGGUGAAGGUCUUGGCCGUGGUGAUGGUCUUGGUCGUGCUGGUGGUAGAGGUCAUGGUGAAGGCCGAUGUCGUAAUCAAGUGGGAAUCACAUCUAAAGGAUUAG